rnacentral:lncRNA from 1 species
GUGAGAACACUGUAGGCAGGCAGGUGAAGUGGGGGUCAAAGUAGGAAGCACCUGGGGAAUUGCAAGGAUCUUAGUUGGCCUUGCAGAGGACAGUAAAUGGGGUUGUAGGAGCAGGUAGGAGUCACUGGCAAAGACCUCCCUGGCCAAAUAAGGAAGGUGGACCUUAUCUUGACAACAUGAAGAGACCAAGAGAUGUCCAGCACAACAGAGUUUUAUUUUAGAAGGGUUUUUUGGGAUAGAUUUUGAGUGGGACAGAGACUGGAAAUGAUGAGCCCAGUUAGAGGUUCUGGAAUAACACACUGAGAGGUGUUGACUGCUGGAAAAGGGGGAGUUAUAUGUGGCUGUGAAGUCUUUGGAAACAGAUUUCACUUUUUUGAAUUAAAUUCCAAUAAUGGAUAUGUUUAGCAAGCUGGCUCUGUAUUUGGGGAAUUUGAAGUUUAAUUUCAAAGCAGGCUAUGUGAUAGGUUCCCUAUCAAGUGUUUUCAAAUGAAAUUUAAUUUAAAAACUAUCUUGCAGUCUCUUUGUAGCUGAAUAUUACCCAAGGAUUUCUCUGCUACUAAGUUUUGAUUUUUUUUAACUGAUAGAGAUUUUAUUUCUUUAAUGAUCAAAAUUAGAGAUGGGUGGAGAGUAUUAUGAAUCAGUCAAUGAGUGAAUGAUAGUGGCCUUGUGGAAAUACCACCUAAUUAAGAAUAAGGGGGGGAGUUCCUGUCGUGGUGCAGUGGUUAAUGAAUCCGACUAGGAACCAUGAGAUUGUGGGUUUGAUCCCUGGCCUCGCUGAGUGGGUUAAGGAUCUGGCUUUGCUGUGAUCUGUGGUGUAGGAUGCAGAUGUGGCUCGGAUCCCACGUUGCUCUGCCAGCCUACGCCAGAGCCACAGCAACAUGGGAUCCAAGCCGCGUCUGCGACCUACACCACAGCUCACGGCAACGCCAGAUCCUUAACCCACUGAGCAAGGGCAGGGAUUGAACUCGCAACCUCAAGGUUCCUAGUCGGAUUGGUUAACCACUGUGCCACGACGGGAACUCCCUGGUCUUAUUUCUUAAUAAUCCAACACAGACUUUCUGCAAACAUUUUCUAUAAUAUGCCAUAUAAUAAAUAUUGUCAGGUCGGCUUUUCAGGACUACUCAACUUUGCCCUGUAGUCCAAAAGCAGCCAUAUAUAAUAUGUAAAUGGUCAUGACUGUGUACCAAUAAAACUUUAUUUAUAAAAACAGAAGGUAGGUUGUAGUUUGCUAACACCUGCUGAUCCAGCAGGAGUCCAAUAGAAAUAUAAUGUGAGCCACAUAUGUAGUUUUAAAUUUUCUAGUAGCCACAUUAUAAGUAAGCAAAAAGCAACCAGUGAGUAUAAUUUCAAUAGUAUAUUUUAUUUCAUCCAAAAUAUUCCAAAAUUAUUAACAUUUAAUCAUUAUAAAGUAUGAAUGAGCUGUUUUACUCUUUUGUAUUAAAUCUUUAAUAUCUGGGGUAUCUUUUUCAUUUGCAGCACAUCUCCACUUCAGCCAGCUACAUUUCAAGUGUUCAGUAGCCACCUGUGGCUAGUAGCUGCCAUAAGUAUUGGGCAAUACAACUUUCACCUUAAAAAUCUAUGAUUCUGGAGUUCCCAUCAUGGCUCAGUGGUAAUGAACCUGACUAGUAUCCAUGAGGACACAGGUCUGACCUCUGGCCUCACUCAGUGGGUUAAGGAUCCAGUGUUAUCAUGAGCUGUGGUGUAGGUCACAGAUGUGGCUCGGAUCUGGCAUUUCUCUGGCUGUGCUGUAGGCUGGUGGCUACAGCUCUGAUUCAACCCCAAGCCUGGGAACUUCUGCAUGCCGCUAGUGUGGCCCUAUAAUUCUAUGCAAAAAUAAUUUAUGUGCAUAACUUGAAGUGACUGAGAUACUUCCUUUUUCUUGCCACACAUAUAUAUAUUGGUUAGGAAAAUACUAUUAACACUUUAAGAUAAAAUUUUAAAAAUACGCAGUGGCUGAAAACAGGAGUUUAUCUUUCACCCACAUGGAGCUGAACGUUGCUGGUCCUAAUUAACUGGUGGCUCUGCUGUGUUGAUUCUGAGGAGUCCUGAUUCCCUUGAUCUUGGGCUCCUCGGUCUCCAACUCAAGGCUUCCAGGGUCGUGUUUUCAUUGUAUCAGACAUCUGAGAAGGAAAUAGAGAGUGCAGAAGCCCACCCGCCUCCUCACUGCCUGGCCUUGGAAAUGACACAGAAUCAUUUUGUUCCACUUCCUCUGGUGAGAACACUCAUGUGCCCCCACUUAAAUGAAGCGGGAUGGGAAAUUCAGUACCUGCCUCACUGCUGCUUUCCUGUGAUGCCUCUUUGCUGUGAAAGGGAAACCAGAAUACUUGGGGGGCAGUGAGUGGUCUUUGCUGUACUCUGUUUUUCAGUUCUGUGAGGCUCUCCUGCUCACGUCCCUGCCUUGGUACUUUUGGAGGCAUUGGCAAGUGAUUGGAAACAUCGCAAUAGCAGUGAGGUAACCCAGUUCUGGGUUUUGGAGCAAUACCACCCUCCUAGCUGACCCAAUUCUGUCUUCUCACUUCCUGCUCACUCUUAUGGGUCAUCUUUAAUCUGGCUAGACCUGGUUUUUCCUUUUAGUUUGACCAUCACUUUGAUUUCCUUGAUAGAUCUCUGUGGGCCAUAAUGUGUACAUAGUAUUGAGGGCUUGCUGAUUGAUCCUGGUAUUACUGGCAUGUCAUUCAUGUGCUAUAUAUUUUUUUAAAGGAAACGAAUUUAAAGUAGAGAUGUCAGGAAGCAGAGGCCAGAACCAAUACUUGGUGUGUUGACAGAGGUACUGAAGCCAUUUUCAUUGGCAUCAUUUUACACAACUUUAGACUGUUUAAAUAAAUGACUCAUUACAUAAUAGCUUGACUAAAAAUAGCAAUUUUCCUAGUGUUUGUUCUACUUAUCAUUCCUUACUACAAUGGGUAACCAUCUUUUUUCGUCAAAAAGGGUAUUUGUUUUCCUCCCAAAUUAUAAACAUGCUUGAUCAAAUAUUCAGCUAGUGCUAUGGAAGUCUGUCCUGUGAAGGAAAUGUGAGACAGGCAGGAAUAAUAAAAGUAAGGUAAGUGAAAAGGACAAAGAAGCUCCUAAUCUCUCUCCCAAGCCCCAGCUUUCCUUCUAACUAUGCAUAUUUUGCCUUUCUGAAAACAUAUCAUUUAAUUAUUAUUAAAUGUCUUGUUCUGAGAAAUAAGGAAAUACCAAGUUCACAUGUGUUUUGGAUUAUUAAGAAGUAAAAAGAACCAGUGCUCAGAAGUAUCAUGCUAGGGACAUGGAAAAGGAAAAAAAAAAAAAUAAUUGUUUGCCUUUAUGUUACCCUAGGUAGGGUUGUCUUUGAUUCCACCAAUCUAUUUUUGUAAGAUAUUUUGCAAUAUUUUUGAAAUUAAAAUUUGUGGUAUGAUGAGGUUAAUCCUUAUAAGCCCCCCUCAGGUACAGAAUCCAGCUGAUUCUUGCUAUUCUACCAUAAAGAAGAAAUAAUUCAGCAAUCCCCAACUUCUUCCUGGCCCAUUACUGGGAUCUAUGGGGCUCAGAGUAACCUGCAUUGUGGGCACCAGUAAUGUUCUUUUUUUUUUUUUUGGCUGCACCCAUGGCAUGCAGAAGUUCCCAGGCCAGUGGUCAAACCCACACCACAGCAGUGACGACGCUGUAACCUUUAACCACUAGGCCACCAGGGAACUCCAGUAAUGUCAUAUUUUAAAGUCCUGUUGCAGAGCAGAAGAAGAGAUACCCCUUUCCCUUAUAGCCAGGGGGGUUGUGGGGAAGGUGGAAACUGGGAAUCCGGGGUCCUGGAUUAGUUGAGAGCUGGGGCUUUGGAGAGAGAUUAGGAGUUAUGGGUAGGGUGAUGGACAGUCAUUGAGUUGGAUGCCUGGCUUUGCCUCCUUCUAACUUGUCUCUCCAACAAGUUACUUUACCGCUUUGAACUUCAGUCACCCCUGUCUGUGCAAUGACAGUAACAUCGGUACUUACUUCACAGCAUUGUGGAGGAGAUUAAAUGGGGUAAUGGUUAUAAACUGCUAAUCCAGUCCAAAGUGCCUGGCAAGUACCCAAUGCAUGGAAAACAAUUUUAUUAUCAUCUUAUUAUUACAAAAGUUGUAAAAUUGAUUGUCUUAGGUAAACUUGCACCCUGGAAGAAUGGAGCUUGAUUGUCCAAAAGGCAGGAAAUCAGAGAGAGAGAGCCGGGAGUCAGCCUCCAUAUUUCUUUGAUCAUUUUGCAACAUUAGUUUUUGUUUCUUUGUUUGUUUGUUUCAGUUUUAAAUUGUUAAGCUGUGUUGACUGGUAACAGUGUCCUUUUUGUAGAUGUCCUAGCAUUUUUCAGCCUCAACUGAUGCGUUCCAUGGUCAUUCAUGGAACUUAAGGAACCCUCAGGGUUGGUGGGAAAUAAUAAUAGGUGUUCAGUGACCCAUCUUCCUCUCCCACUUGAAUUGAAUGUGAUGCUGAAUGUUACUUCCUUUUUUCAUAGUAUCUACUCCCCUCUCUUGCUUUACUGCUCUUCUGCUGUCCACAAUCAAACUAAUGCCUCCUCAAGUCCAAUGCUCAUGUUUUCCUGCUUCUGUUUCAACUCAGCUUUCCAAUAUCCUUCAUUCAAGGCGUUUCCCCAAAUCCUGCCCCAGUUAACUGGGAUUGAGAUCCGAAUUAGCUCUGGCUCUGCCCCACUGAAACAUGGCCCCUUAAUGACAGUUUCUUUCACCCCUUCAUCCAAAGGCAACCUUACAUGUUUAGUAACUACUGUGUGGGUUUCUUCACAGUUCAGUGUCCAAACCUUGCAGUGGUCAAUAGGAUGUUUCUCUGUUAGACUGGAAGUUCCAGGAGGGCAGGGGCUGUGUGUUGAACAAGUUUGGUAGAGUCUAAAAGGCAGGGCCAGCAGGUAGGUGCUGAGUAUGCUUUCCUUCUGUUUUUACCAACCACACGCAGGCUGUUUUCAUAUAAUCAGGAUGAAUCUAAUUUUAAAAUGAACAACCGUGUGUCCUUAGAUGAACCAGAAUAUACACUUACAAGGCGCUGCUGUCCUGCAUUAUAAAUAAGGGAAUAGUUUGUCCUGCAGAAAAGCUCUGCUGUUCUUUUCCCUUAAAACAGCAACAAACAAACCAAAAAACGUCUCCAUACGUAAGAACUGAGAUAGAUCUUCCUGUCUCCUCACCUGAGUUGGCAAGAAAUCAGGGCCCCCAAGUGGAUAUUCUCUGCAAAGAUGAAACCCAGCAAACAUCCACAAUCCAAGAAGAAAGCCUUCUGAGGAUUUAUGAAGAAGCAUCCUUAAGAAUGGCUGACUAUGAGAGUUCCCUCAUGGCUCACUGGAUUAAGGAUCCAGCGUUGUCAUUGCUGUGGUGUGGGUUCAAUCCCUGGCCUGGUAACUUCUGAGUAGAUCCUAAGCUUGGUGCCUGAUUGCCAACUGUAUGGCAGUGGGAGUUCUUCAGCUAUGGCUUCAGGUUCCUUCAGGGCCACAGGAAAAGGCUGAGGCUCUUGGAAAGUGUCAGCUGUGCUGCUCUUUGCAGACCUCUUGCUGGUGUGUGGAACCCCUGGUGCGCUUUGCUACAUGGAGUCCCUCAAGCUCCUAGCAUUUUCUUGAGAUUUUUAGCAUCUCAGAAUUCCCAGUACAGGGAAGAGUGAUUUAACAUCACCCUGAGGGGAUUUACAGUUCACUUCGCUUUGUCUAGCAGAGUUUUGAAAAUAGCUGUUUCAUUUUGCUAUUCUGUGGUUUUAAACCCCACUGGUAAUUCAUUAAAGUUCAUUUGAACUAUGGCAGCUGUUGUUUUCAUCUUUGCCUCUUCUCAGCACUGGAAUAAGACCCCCCCUUCUUGGAGUAGAGUGUUACUUAUUUGAGUUCUUGUAGAAGUUUGACUUCAGGGGCAUUUGAGACUCACGGGGAUUGUGCCCACAUUCCCUGCCAGCCUUGAGCAAAAGAUGUGGCUUUGCCCGUUCCCUCGUUGGGAGACAGAGGAGUGUGGCUGAAGUUGGGUUUAUGGUGGUCUGAAAGAAGUGGGUUGAGAGCCUGUGGCUCAGAGUCCCAGUGAUUCUGCACUCAGGACCUGGAAAUGGGCAGAUCAGCACCUCUUAAGAGGUGGCUGCUGUGGACCCAGAGAAGUCUCACAUUAAAGGAACUUGAGGAUCAAGUGGUCUCCAGCCCAGUAUUCCUUCAAAAGACUCACCAUUAAAGUUGGGUUCCCCAGAAGCAGACCCUGAGAUGAGAAUUCAAGUGCAAGUUCUUUUAGGGGGAAGGUGAAGAAAACACCCCCAGGAGAGUGGUGCCUGAAGACUGCCUACAGAAGCAGUUCAUGUCCUGGCAUUUCAGGACUGCUUCUUGGCCAGCCAAGAACACACCUCCGGGCAAGAGAAUGCAGUUUGUAGCAGUCAGAAGACAAGCUGGUGGGCACUGAAGAAGUGCUGAUGAGGAUGGGGUCGGGCACCAGGCAGCCUUUCUUGUCAGUGGCAUGAUACCCUGGAGGGCAGCCUGUAAUCCUCAUUUCUACCCAAGGACCACUGGCCUCUUUCGGACUUCUGCUGGGUUCUCACACACCAUAGUCUGCCUUCAUCUGGAGAGGUGGAGCUGACCCCACCAGCAGAUGGUUCAGGAUCAACUAGAGAGAGAUCUGGUAAGACAGGGUGCCCAGCCAAGCCCCUGACCCCCUUCCUUAGCCUCAUCUCUCCUUGUUCUCUCUGAGACCUUGCUCAUUGUCUGUGAUGGCCUCCUGGUCCUGGUGGGUGCGUUUUCCUUCCUGAUAGCAUCUGCUCUGGGCUCUCCCAGGCUUUUUUGGUCCCCCAGGAGCAUGGUUUCUCAGCUUGGGCACUAUUGACAAGAAUUCUCUGGGCAGAGAAUUCUUUGUGGUGGGGGCUGCCCUGUGCAUGACAGAAUGUUUAGCACCAUCCCUGCCCUGUACUCACUAGAAGCCAUUAGAACGCCACCCCUGAGUCAUGAUAAUCAGAAACAUCUCCAGAGUUCCUGUUGUGGCUCAGUUGGUUAAGAACCCGACUAGUACCCAUGAGGAUGCAGGUUCCAUCCCUGGCCUUGCUUAGUGUGUUAAAGAUCUGGCAUUGCCAUGAGCUGUAGUGUAGGUCUCAGAUGAGACUCUGAUCUGGUGUGGCUGUGGCUGUGGCUGGCAGCUGCAGCUAUGAUUCGACCCCUAGGCUGGGAACUUCCAUAUGCCACAGGUGCAACUGUAAAAAGACAAAAAAAAAAAAAAAAAA